AUGGGUCACACUGUGUGUUUGUGUACUCCUUCCUGUCUUGUGUAUAAUCCUAUUGUUAGUAUUGGUACUAGUGGUCAUGGUUCAUUAGAGGAAGGUACUCGACUGCCAGUGAAGGGUCCCACUACAAGCGGUGUUAUAGGAGGGCUCAUUGGGGUGGUUCUGCUGCUGGCUGUUAUUGGGAGUGUUGUGGUCUUGGUCCGCAAAAAACGCAACCAGCACAAUGGAGAUGGGCCACCCAAGUACAAGCCCCCUCCCCCUAACAAGCAUCAGACCACCAGCAGCUCUACUGAUAGGCUGAACACCAGUAGAGACCCUGUGGAGAGCAAGGACAGAUCCGUGGACCACCUGUACUACGCUCCGCAGGAUGCCAAGCCCAGCACGGACUUGGACGCGUACAGUGAUGAGGAAUACAAUCGUGAUGCGGAGGAGUUGCGCUACGCUGGCACCCCCCCUGGCUGGGAUGAACCCAGGGUGAACGAAGUCCCGCCCCUGUAUGCCCCCAACCAGUACAAGGCCAAUGAUUACCAUGACAAAGAGGAGGACCACCCCCCUGCCACUGGAACAUCUCGUGGAGACAGCUUUGUGUCCCAGGCCAUGUUUGUGUGA
rnacentral:lncRNA from 13 species